UGGGGAAUAUUGGACAAUGGGCGCAAGCCUGAUCCAGCAAUGCCGCGUGUGUGAAGAAGGCCUUCGGGUUGUAAAGCACUUUUAUCAGGAGCGAAACUACUGUCGGCUAAUACCCGGCGGAACUGGCGGUACCUGAGGAAUAAGCACCGGCUAACUUCGUGCCAGCAGCCGCGGUAAUACGAAGGGUGCAAGCGUUACUCGGAAUUACUGGGCGUAAAGCGUGCGUAGGUGGUUCGUUAAGUCCGAUGUGAAAGCCCUGGGCUCAACCUGGGAAUGGCAUUGGAUACUGGCGGGCUAGAGUGCGGUAGAGGAUGGCGGAAUUCCCGGUGUAGCAGUGAAAUGCGUAGAGAUCGGGAGGAACAUCUGUGGCGAAGGCGGCCAUCUGGACCAGCACUGACACUGAGGCACGAAAGCGUGGGGAGCAAAC
rnacentral:rRNA from 1 species